AGAGAGACAGGACAGAGAGAGAGAGAGACAGGACAGAGAGAGAGAGAGACAGGACAGAGAGAGAGAGAGACAGGACAGAGAGAGAGAGAGACAGGACAGAGAGAGAGAGACAGGACAGAAAGAGACAGGACAGAGAGAGACAGGACAGAGAGAGACAGGACAGAGAGAGACAGGACAGAGAGAGACAGGACAGAGAGAGACAAAGGGAGAGAAAACAUAUAAUUAGUCCAAUCCAGAACACAAUAACCACAGGCUGAUUAUGAUGCUGUAAGGCCCGAGAUGAGAACAUGUGUUUCAAUAGACAUGUGUUUCUCCAAAGAGAACCUCUCAGCACAUGAAACAAAGCAUUGUCAUGGUGGGUAUGUAUAUAUAAUAAAGGCCAGUGAUAAUGAGACCGGCUGUUCAAGUGGCCAAUCAUUCAUUCAGCUCUAUUGGGAUACAUUAAAAAAGGGUCUGUUAACGCUGCACACACACACACACACACACACACACACACCAGGGUUUCUAUUAGCUGGUAAUCGCCAGCUAUUGGCUCUAAAAAAUAAAAAAUAAACAGUUAAAGCUGAUGCAUCAAAUUGUUGCAGACCAAAUUGACUGGGAGAAAAACAACGGUAGUCAGGAGAGACAGGUAGUCAGGAGAGACAGGUAGUCAGGAGAGACAGGUAGUCAGGAGAGACAGGUAGUCAGGAGAGACAGGAGACAGGUAGUCAGGAGAGACAGGUAGUCAGGAGAGACAGGUAGUCAGGAAGUCAGGAGAGACAGGUAGUCAGGUAGUCAGGAGAGACAGGAGAGACAGGUAGUCAGGAGAGACAGGAGAGACAGGUAGUCAGGAGAGACAGGAGAGACAGGUAGUCAGGAGAGACAGGUAGUCAGGAGAGACAGGUAGUCAGGAGAGACAGGUAGUCAGGAGAGACAGGUAGUCAGGUAGUCAGGAGAGACAGGUAGUCAGGAGAGACAGGUAGUCAGGAGAGACAGGUAGUCAGGUAGUCAGGAGAGACAGGUAGUCAGGAGAGACAGGUAGUCAGGAGAGACAGGUAGUCAGGAGAGACAGGUAGUCAGGAGAGACAGGUAGUCAGGUAGUCAGGAGAGACAGGUAGUCAGGAGAGACAGGUAGUCAGGAGAGACAGGUAGUCAGGAGAGACAGGUAGUCAGGAGAGACAGGUAGUCAGGUAGUCAGGAGAGACAGGUAGUCAGGAGAGACAGGUAGUCAGGAGAGACAGGUAGUCAGGAGAGACAGGUAGUCAGGAGAG